UUAAGCGACUAAGCGUACACGGUGGAUGCCCUGGCAGUCAGAGGCGAUGAAGGACGUGCUAAUCUGCGAAAAGCGCCGGCGAGGUGAUAUGAACCUUUGACCCGGCGAUGUCCGAAUGGGGAAACCCAGUGCAAUCCGUUGCACUAUCGUUAACUGAAUACAUAGGUUAACGAGGCGAACCGGGGGAACUGAAACAUCUAAGUACCCCGAGGAAAAGAAAUCAACCGAGAUUCCCCCAGUAGCGGCGAGCGAACGGGGAGCAGCCCGGAGUCUGAAUCAGCUUGUGUGUUAGUGGAACGGUCUGGAAAGUCCGACGGUACAGGGUGAUAGUCCCGUACACGAAAGCACACUUGCUGUGAACUCGAAGAGUAGGGCGGGACACGUGGUAUCCUGUCUGAAUAUGGGGGGACCAUCCUCCAAGGCUAAAUACUCCUGACUGACCGAUAGUGAACCAGUACCGUGAGGGAAAGGCGAAAAGAACCCCGGCGAGGGGAGUGAAAAAGAACCUGAAACCGUGUACGUACAAGCAGUGGGAGCCUCUUUAUGGGGUGACUGCGUACCUUUUGUAUAAUGGGUCAGCGACUUAUAUUCUGUAGCAAGGUUAACCGUAUAGGGGAGCCGAAGGGAAACCGAGUCUUAACUGGGCGUUAAGUUGCAGGGUAUAGACCCGAAACCCGGUGAUCUAGCCAUGGGCAGGUUGAAGGUUGGGUAACACUAACUGGAGGACCGAACCGACUAAUGUUGAAAAAUUAGCGGAUGACCUGUGGCUGGGGGUGAAAGGCCAAUCAAACCGGGAGAUAGCUGGUUCUCCCCGAAAGCUAUUUAGGUAGCGCCUCGUGAACUCAUCUUCGGGGGUAGAGCACUGUUUCGGCUAGGGGGCCAUCCCGGCUUACCAACCCGAUGCAAACUACGAAUACCGAAGAAUGUUAUCACGGGAGACACACGGCGGGUGCUAACGUCCGUCGUGAAGAGGGAAACAACCCAGACCGCCAGCUAAGGUCCCAAAGUCAUGGUUAAGUGGGAAACGAUGUGGGAAGGCACAGACAGCCAGGAUGUUGGCUUAGAAGCAGCCAUCAUUUAAAGAAAGCGUAAUAGCUCACUGGUCGAGUCGGCCUGCGCGGAAGAUGUAACGGGGCUAAACCAUGCACCGAAGCUGCGGCAGCGACGCUUAUGCGUUGUUGGGUAGGGGAGCGUUCUGUAAGCCGUUGAAGGUGUNNNNNNNNNNNNNNNNNNNNNNNNNNNNNNNNNNNNNNNUUAACGCUGAGGUGUGAUGACGAGGCACUACGGUGCUGAAGUGAUAAAUGCCCUGCUUCCAGGAAAAGCCUCUAAGCAUCAGGUAACACGAAAUCGUACCCCAAACCGACACAGGUGGUCAGGUAGAGAAUACCAAGGCGCUUGAGAGAACUCGGGUGAAGGAACUAGGCAAAAUGGUGCCGUAACUUCGGGAGAAGGCACGCUGAUAGGUAGGUGAAGUCCCUGCGGACGGAGCUGAAAUCAGUCGAAGAUACCAGCUGGCUGCAACUGUUUAUUAAAAACACAGCACUGUGCAAACACGAAAGUGGACGUAUACGGUGUGACGCCUGCCCGGUGCCGGAAGGUUAAUUGAUGGGGUUAGCGGCAACGCGAAGCUCUUGAUCGAAGCCCCGGUAAACGGCGGCCGUAACUAUAACGGUCCUAAGGUAGCGAAAUUCCUUGUCGGGUAAGUUCCGACCUGCACGAAUGGCGUAAUGAUGGCCAGGCUGUCUCCACCCGAGACUCAGUGAAAUUGAACUCGCUGUGAAGAUGCAGUGUACCCGCGGCAAGACGGAAAGACCCCGUGAACCUUUACUAUAGCUUGACACUGAACACUGGUCCUUGAUGUGUAGGAUAGGUGGGAGGCUUUGAAGCGUGGACGCCAGUCUGCGUGGAGCCAACCUUGAAAUACCACCCUUUAAUGGCUGGUGUUCUAACGUAGACCCGUAAUCCGGGUUGCGGACAGUGUCUGGUGGGUAGUUUGACUGGGGCGGUCUCCUCCCAAAGAGUAACGGAGGAGCACGAAGGUUGGCUAAUCCUGGUCGGACAUCAGGAGGUUAGUGCAAUGGCAUAAGCCAGCUUGACUGCGAGCGUGACGGCGCGAGCAGGUGCGAAAGCAGGUCAUAGUGAUCCGGUGGUUCUGAAUGGAAGGGCCAUCGCUCAACGGAUAAAAGGUACUCCGGGGAUAACAGGCUGAUACCGCCCAAGAGUUCAUAUCGACGGCGGUGUUUGGCACCUCGAUGUCGGCUCAUCACAUCCUGGGGCUGAAGUAGGUCCCAAGGGUAUGGCUGUUCGCCAUUUAAAGUGGUACGCGAGCUGGGUUUAGAACGUCGUGAGACAGUUCGGUCCCUAUCUGCCGUGGGCGCUGGAGAAUUGAGGGGGGCUGCUCCUAGUACGAGAGGACCGGAGUGGACGCAUCACUGGUGUUCGGGUUGUCAUGCCAAUGGCACUGCCCGGUAGCUAAAUGCGGAAGAGAUAAGUGCUGAAAGCAUCUAAGCACGAAACUUGCCCCGAGAUGAGUUCUCCCUGAGAC
rnacentral:rRNA from 1 species